CCUACGGGUGGCUGCAGUGGGGAAUAUUGCACAAUGGGCGCAAGCCUGAUGCAGCCAUGCCGCGUGUGUGAAGAAGGCCUUCGGGUUGUAAAGCACUUUCAGCGGGGAGGAAGGCGUUAAGGUUAAUAACCUUGUCGAUUGACGUUACCCGCAGAAGAAGCACCGGCUAACUCCGUGCCAGCAGCCGCGGUAAUACGGAGGGUGCAAGCGUUAAUCGGAAUUACUGGGCGUAAAGCGCACGCAGGCGGUCUGUCAAGUCGGAUGUGAAAUCCCCGGGCUCAACCUGGGAACCGCAUUCGAAACUGGCAGGCUAGAGUCUUGUAGAGGGGGGUAGAAUUCCAGGUGUAGCGGUGAAAUGCGUAGAGAUCUGGAGGAAUACCGGUGGCGAAGGCGGCCCCCUGGACAAAGACUGACGCUCAGGUGCGAAAGCGUGGGGAGCAAACAGGAUUAGAUACCCGUGUAGUC
rnacentral:rRNA from 1 species